UGAACUCAGCUAUCUACAACCUAAUCUGAACUUGAAAUGGGUGGAAAUGAGAGUGGUGAGAUUUUAUAAUCCUAGUGAGUAAACAAACAUCAUUCAAAAGAUCUAAAGUCGAGUAAAAGGAGACAAUUAAAAUAUUUCAUCUCAAUAUUUAUUUCAUAACAUAAAUAUUCAUUUCAUUUAAAUAUUCAACACGGCUUAUGAGUAUCUUAAAAACUUGGCUCCUGCCAAAAUCAUUCUCAGGGAUACCUUGGCUGAGGUAUCUAACCGAGUCCGCUAAGGCUGUUAAAAAAGUUCGUAUACACGUAAACAUAUUUUUAGUUUGAAAAACACAGCCAUUCCUUGGUGUUAGCGGAGUUCAUCAUCACGAGGUGGUUCGGCGUAACGUGAACUUUGUCCAUAUCUCAGGAGAUACCCUACGCGCCUCUCCGAUCGAGGUACAUAUAUAUAUAUAUAUAUAUAUAUAUAUCUGGAUUCCGUGCCCUUCUAAUAGGCUGGUCUACAGAAUCUGCCUACUGCAGCAAGCUAAACCCACCAUACAAUAAAAUUUUGACAACAUGACAGGGCUAAUAUUUUACUACCCAGCCUGCAAGGGUAAAAN
rnacentral:lncRNA from 1 species